CAGGUAUCCUUUUGGUCUUAGCAUGAACCAUUUAAUGAUAUUUUUAUGACAUUAUAUCCUAGUUGACAGUACAACAGCAUGGGUUGUGACCUUCACCCAAAUAUUAGUAAAAUGUGCAGAUCACACCAGCCACUUUACUGAGCAAGAAUGGAAAAACUUAGAGUUCUCAGAAAGCAGGGUAGAACAAGCUUUCAAUAAAGAACUAUAGUGAUCUGGGGCCAUUAUGAAAAUUGACUGAAAACUACCUUGAAAGUCAAAUCACUUGGGUCCAUGAUUUAACUGCUUGAAACAUGUUGAUCUAUGUUUUUGUCCAGAAUGCCUAACAGUGAUCACUUAGGCCUCUGAAAGCCAAAGAUGUCUGAGAGCCAGAAC
rnacentral:lncRNA from 1 species